AGUGAACGCUGGCGGUAGGCCUAACACAUGCAAGUCGAACGGCAGCACAGUAAGAGCUUGCUCUUACGGGUGGCGAGUGGCGGACGGGUGAGGAAUACAUCGGAAUCUACUUUUUCGUGGGGGAUAACGUAGGGAAACUUACGCUAAUACCGCAUACGACCUACGGGUGAAAGCAGGGGAUCUUCGGACCUUGCGCGAUUGAAUGAGCCGAUGUCGGAUUAGCUAGUUGGCGGGGUAAAGGCCCACCAAGGCGACGAUCCGUAGCUGGUCUGAGAGGAUGAUCAGCCACACUGGAACUGAGACACGGUCCAGACUCCUACGGGAGGCCGCCGUGGGGAAUAUUGGACAAUGGGCGCAAGCCUGAUCCAGCCAUACCGCGUGGGUGAAGAAGGCCUUCGGGUUGUAAAGCCCUUUUGUUGUGAAAGAAAAGCAGCAGGUUAAUACCCCGCUGUUCUGACGGUACCCAAAGAAUAAGCACCGGCUAACUUCGUG
rnacentral:rRNA from 1 species